rnacentral:rRNA from 1 species
GAUGAACGCUGGCGGCGUGCCUAAUACAUGCAAGUCGAGCGAACAGACGAGGAGCUUGCUCCUCUGACGUUAGCGGCGGGCGGGUGAGUAACACGUGGAUAACCUACCUAUAAGACUGGGAUAACUUCGGGAAACCGGAGCUAAUACCGGAUAAUAUAUUGAACCGCAUGGUUCAAUAGUGAAAGACGGUUUUGCUGUCACUUAUAGAUGGAUCCGCGCCGCAUUAGCUAGUUGGUAAGGUAACGGCUUACCAAGGCAACGAUGCGUAGCCGACCUGAGAGGGUGAUCGGCCACACUGGAACUGAGAAACGGUCCAGACUCCUACGGGAGGCAGCAGUAGGGAAUCUUCCGCAAAGGGCGAAAGCUUGACGGAGCAACGCCGCGUGAGUGAUGAAGGUCUUCGGAUCGUAAAACUCUGUUAUUAGGGAAGAACAAAUGUGUAAGUAACUAUGCACGUCUUGACGGUACCUAAUCAGAAAGCCACGGCUAACUACGUG